AGCAGUUCAUAUCCUCCACAGCUGAUCUCAGUCCCAGGGGCCCAUUGGCUGGGCAAGUGGGGCAGGAGGUGGGCAGGACUGGGGCAGGCUAGGGAAAGGUCAUUUAUGGCUGAUUAAAUCUUUCUCUCCUGUCUCAAUCUCUUGAUUACCUUUCCUCUUGCUUCCCCUACUUCAUUUUUGGUGGGGAGUGGGGAGGGAAGAAGUCCCUACUUUUUAUUUAUAUAUAUUUAAAUUUGUAUUAUCUUAAGAGUUAUUGUUUUUUCCCCUUUAUUUCUCCCACCUGUUCUUUCUCUCUUCUUCUUUCUUUCCUCUCCUUCUCCUCUCCUCUCCUCCCCUCUCCUUUUUCUUUUCUUUUCUUUUUCCCUUUCCUUUCCUUUCCUUUUCUCUUCUCUUUUCUCUCUCUCUUUCUUUCUGUACCUCUCUUUCCUUUUUCUUUUUUUUUCUUUUUUGAGACAGAGUUUCACUCUCUCGCCUAGGCUGGAGUGCAGCAGCAUGAUCUUGACUUACUGCAAUCUCUGCCUGCCGAGUUCAAGUGAUUCUCCUGCCUCAGCCUCCCA
rnacentral:lncRNA from 1 species